CAUUCACUGAAACCUAAGUAGCUACAUCUUUACCAUACCUUAACUUCUCUCUGGAGUACAAAAAGCAUAUAAUGUCCAUUUGGGUCACCCAGGAAUGAGCCCACAGUCGCUUUUCCCCCUGUUUUAAGUUUCUUCAGCACAAAAGCGCUUUCAUCAUGCAAAGCGCUUCUGUAGCCGUGAUUCUCAGAUUCUAUCCUCUUCCCCCGCGAUGACCUACGAACUCACGCGAGGACGCGGACGAUGAUUGGUCGGUGACUAACCUGUAGUGUUGCCAGUCCCCCGAGAACGACGCAAAACGAAAAUAACUGCUUAAUCUGACAUAGUGAACAUUGUGAGGGACAAAAAUGUUGUGUAGUCUGAGCUUGGCAUAACACUAACUUUACCUGGUGCAGAUGCGCUCACUGCACUGCCGUGCUGACUGCAACCGAGUGGAUUUGCUGUCAGGAGGCUAACGUGAACCAUUUGCUCUGAUAUCGUCCCUGCAGAACCCUGAGCAGAACUUUUCAGAUGCUUUUCCAAGAGCGAGAAGUUUUGGAGGUGUCUAUACUCUCUCUACGUGAGUUCCGUGCAGAAACCCUGGAGCCCGUCAACAGCAGUGCUCUCGCUCAUCAUGUUGUGGGUUGAAGGAAGCUCUCUGUGGAAGAGCUGCAGAGAUCUCACUUCCCAGAGCUGCACUGUGGGUGCUGGGUGUCACAUGACAGGCGCUGUUGACUGACGGCUGGUAACCGGAGCUGGUGGAGGACGCCGGCAGCCAAUGGGAGGAGAAGAGGAGAGAGAAGGGAAGGGAGGCCCCACGAGCGCCGAGCAGCGCGCGCUACAGCGCAGGACAGCGCGCGAGGACCGGGCGCUUCUUCCCCAGCUCUCCCUCCCGGUCAGUGCAGCACGGGGGCGGCGGAUGCGGUGCGCUUGGCUGGGGUGGGAGCUGAUCACACUGGGAGAAGCUGGGAGAAGCUGCAGCUCAUUGCUUUAAUGAGUUAAAGCCAAGAAUGGAGAACCUGCAUGACCAGCAAGUGCCUCUUAGUAGCUCACAUGUAAGUAAGUACAGGUGGGGGGUGGGGAUAUAUAUACAGCUCUGGAAAAAAAUAAGAGACCACUUAAAA
rnacentral:lncRNA from 1 species